GCAGGUGUCGUCUAGUGGUUAGGACGCUCGCCCCACACGCGAGAGAUCGUCGGUUCAAUCCCGACCAUCUGUA